CCUACGGGCGGCAGCAGUGGGGAAUAUUGCACAAUGGGCGCAAGCCUGAUGCAGCCAUGCCGCGUGUGUCAAGAAGGCCUUCGGGUUGUAAAGCACUUUCAGCGGGGAGGAAGGCGGUGAGGUUAAUAACCUCAUCGAUUGACGUUACCCGCAGAAGAAGCACCGGCUAACUCCGUGCCAGCAGCCGCGGUAAUACGGAGGGUGCAAGCGUUAAUCGGAAUUACUGGGCGUAAAGCGCACGCAGGCGGUCUGUCAAGUCGGAUGUGAAAUCCCCGGGCUCAACCUGGGAACUGCAUUCGAAACUGGCAGGCUAGAGUCUUGUAGAGGGGGGUAGAAUUCCAGGUGUAGCGGUGAAAUGCGUAGAGAUCUGGAGGAAUACCGGUGGCGAAGGCGGCCCCCUGGACAAAGACUGACGCUCAGGUGCGAAAGCGUGGGGAGCAAACAGGAUUAGAUACCCGAGUAGUC
rnacentral:rRNA from 1 species